rnacentral:rRNA from 1 species
GUGAAUUAAUGCGAACUGCAUACUGCUUUGAACAUCGACAUCUUGAACGCAUAUUGCGGCCACGGGUUAGCCUGUGGCCACGCCUGUCCGAGGGUC